AGCAGCCGCCGCGGGAAUACGAAGGGUGCAAGCGUUAAUCGGAAUUACUGGGCGUAAAGCGUGCGUAGGCGGUGAGUUAAGUCUGCUGUGAAAUCCCCGGGCUCAACCUGGGAAUGGCAGUGGAUACUGGCUCGCUAGAGUGUGUCAGAGGAUGGUGGAAUUCCCGGUGUAGCGGUGAAAUGCGUAGAGAUCGGGAGGAACAUCAGUGGCGAAGGCGGCCAUCUGGGACAACACUGACGCUGAGGCACGAAAGCGUGGGGAGCAAACAGGAUUAGAUACCCGUGUAGUCCCUGUCUCUUAUAA
rnacentral:rRNA from 1 species